rnacentral:rRNA from 1 species
GACGAACGCUGGCGGCGUGCCUAAUACAUGCAAGUAGAACGCUGAAGAGAGGAGCUUGCUCUUCUUGGAUGAGUUGCGAACGGGUGAGUAACGCGUAGGUAACCUGCCUUGUAGCGGGGGAUAACUAUUGGAAACGAUAGCUAAUACCGCAUAACAAUGGAUGACACAUGUCAUUUAUUUGAAAGGGGCAAUUGCUCCACUACAAGAUGGACCUGCGUUGUAUUAGCUAGUAGGUGAGGUAAUGGCUCACCUAGGCGACGAUACAUAGCCGACCUGAGAGGGUGAUCGGCCACACUGGGACUGAGACACGGCCCAGACUCCUACGGGAGGCAGCAGUAGGGAAUCUUCGGCAAUGGGGGCAACCCUGACCGAGCAACGCCGCGUGAGUGAAGAAGGUUUUCGGAUCGUAAAGCUCUGUUGUAAGUCAAGAACGGGUGUGAGAGUGGAAAGUUCACACUGUGACGGUAGCUUACCAGAAAGGGACGGCUAACUACGUGCCAGCAGCCGCGGUAAUACGUAGGUCCCGAGCGUUGUCCGGAUUUAUUGGGCGUAAAGCGAGCGCAGGCGGUUUGAUAAGUCUGAAGUUAAAGGCUGUGGCUCAACCAUAGUUCGCUUUGGAAACUGUCAAACUUGAGUGCAGAAGGGGAGAGUGGAAUUCCAUGUGUAGCGGUGAAAUGCGUAGAUAUAUGGAGGAACACCGGUGGCGAAAGCGGCUCUCUGGUCUGUAACUGACGCUGAGGCUCGAAAGCGUGGGGAGCGAACAGGAUUAGAUACCCUGGUAGUCCACGCCGUAAACGAUGAGUGCUAGGUGUUGGAUCCUUUCCGGGAUUCAGUGCCGCAGCUAACGCAUUAAGCACUCCGCCUGGGGAGUACGACCGCAAGGUUGAAACUCAAAGGAAUUGACGGGGGCCCGCACAAGCGGUGGAGCAUGUGGUUUAAUUCGAAGCAACGCGAAGAACCUUACCAGGUCUUGACAUCCCGAUGCUAUUUCUAGAGAUAGAAAGUUACUUCGGUACAUCGGUGACAGGUGGUGCAUGGUUGUCGUCAGCUCGUGUCGUGAGAUGUUGGGUUAAGUCCCGCAACGAGCGCAACCCCUAUUGUUAGUUGCCAUCAUUCAGUUGGGCACUCUAGCGAGACUGCCGGUAAUAAACCGGAGGAAGGUGGGGAUGACGUCAAAUCAUCAUGCCCCUUAUGACCUGGGCUACACACGUGCUACAAUGGUUGGUACAACGAGUUGCGAGUCGGUGACGGCGAGCUAAUCUCUUAAAGCCAAUCUCAGUUCGGAUUGUAGGCUGCAACUCGCCUACAUGAAGUCGGAAUCGCUAGUAAUCGCGGAUCAGCACGCCGCGGUGAAUACGUUCCCGGGCCUUGUACACACCGCCCGUCACACCACGAGAGUUUGUAACACCCGAAGUCGGUGAGGUAACCUUUUGGAGCCAGCCGCCUAAGGUGGAC